GGGGGUGAAAAGGGCUCGAUUUAGGUAAAUCGGGUAAAAGUAGCAUGCCGCGGAGGCAAGGUUGGCCGCGUUAACAAUCCUUGCAAAAUAUAAACGCAAACACGCAAGUGUCACGUUUAGGAAUGGCGUUUGCCUCGCCAGUAAUGGCAAGACCAAUGUCGUUCAUUCCAGCCUUCGGGCUUAAUUAAGUCCGGAGCCUCUAUCUAUCCUGCCUGUGGGAUAAAAUAGAGCGGCUAACAGGCUAGUCUGGGCGAAUUAGCCUUUGGUGUCCAGGCAAAAUUCAAAAAGGAUGCUG
rnacentral:tmRNA from 1 species